rnacentral:rRNA from 1 species
UACGUAGGGGGCAAGCGUUGUCCGGAAUCAUUGGGCGUAAAGCGCGUGUAGGCGGCCCGGUAAGUCCGCUGUGAAAGUCGGGGGCUCAACCCUCGAAUGCCGGUGGAUACUGUCGGGCUAGAGUACGGAAGAGGCGAGUGGGAUUCCUGGUGUAGCGGUGAAAUGCGCAGAUAUCAGGAGGAACACCAAUUGCGAAGGCAGCUCGCUGGGACGUUACUGACGCUGAGACGCGAAAGCGUGGGGAGCAAACAGG